GUUAGGAAUAUUGGACAAUGGACGCAAGUCUGAUCCAGCCAUGCCGCGUGAGUGAUGAAGGCCUUCGGGUUGUAAAGCUCUUUAGCCGAUGAUUAUAAUGACUGUAGUCGGAAAAUAAGCCCCGGCUAACUUCGUGCCAGCAGCCGCGGUAAUACGAAGGGGGCGAGCGUUAUUCGGAAUAACUGGGCGUAAAGCGUGCGUAGGCGGUUUUGUAAGUUGGGAGUGAAAGCCCAGGGCUCAACCCUGGAAUUGCUCUCAAAACUGCAAGGCUCGAAUUCGGGAGAGGAUAGCGGAAUUGUCAGUGUAGCAGUGAAAUGCGUAGAUAUUGACAGGAACACCAGUGGCGUAAGCGGCUAUCUGGACCGAUAUUGACGCUGAGGCACGAAAGCGUGGGGAUCAAACAGGAUUAGAAACCCCGGUAGUCC
rnacentral:rRNA from 1 species